rnacentral:rRNA from 1 species
UGGGGAAUUUUGGACAAUGGGCGAAAGCCUGAUCCAGCAAUGCCGCGUGUGUGAAGAAGGCCUUCGGGUUGUAAAGCACUUUUGUCCGGAAAGAAAUCCUUGGCUCUAAUACAGUCGGGGGAUGACGGUACCGGAAGAAUAAGCACCGGCUAACUACGUGCCAGCAGCCGCGGUAAUACGUAGGGUGCAAGCGUUAAUCGGAAUUACUGGGCGUAAAGCGUGCGCAGGCGGUUUGCUAAGACCGAUGUGAAAUCCCCGGGCUCAACCUGGGAACUGCAUUGGUGACUGGCAGGCUAGAGUAUGGCAGAGGGGGGUAGAAUUCCACGUGUAGCAGUGAAAUGCGUAGAGAUGUGGAGGAAUACCGAUGGCGAAGGCAGCCCCCUGGGCCAAUACUGACGCUCAUGCACGAAAAGCGUGGGGAGCAAAACAGGAUUAGAUACCCUGGUAGUCCACGCCCUAAACGAUGUCAACUAGUUGUUGGGGAUUCAUUUCCUUAGUAACGUAGCUAACGCGUGAAGUUGACCGCCUGGGGAGUACGGUCGCAAGAUUAAAACUCAAAUGAAUUG